rnacentral:lncRNA from 1 species
AGUGAUAGUCAGGCAUCAAGGGUGUCCUGAUUGGUGAAUUCUUUGGCUAAGAGGAAUCAAGAGGAAAGGAAUAUGGCAAAAGGUCCAGGCAAAUAGGCUGAGGUACUUAAUAGGAGAACCAGGAGUCAUGUAAGAAGGGAGAGGCAAUGUAAAAGUAUAGGAGGCUGAGGCACACUCUGAAGCAGUGGACUAAAAUCACUGAGCUGGCAGCCUAUAGAUAAAAGCCCCAUGGCUCCUACAUUCUGUGGGAGCUUAUUCAAGUCCAUCUUUGCUCCACUUGGCUGAAUCAUCCAUAUUUAAAGGCUGUACUUGCAUCUCCAGCAGCUACAUUCAGCUGGUCGACCUGCUCCUAGUGAACAUGAUAAUCACCAUAAUCCUAGGGGGAAAGAUAUGCAGAAUAGACAAGAAAACAGAAGCACUGCCUCAACAGCCCCUGAAAGCAGUAAGAGUGUCAACACAGGGAAAACAGGCAAUAGCAGACGACAGAACCUCAGCAGACUAGACCACAUGCCACAGCACGAUGCUACAGAAUCAAAUUGAAAUAUUCUUCCAGCUCAUAAUGAAGC